UACGUAGGGGGGCAAGCGUUGUCCGGAGUUACUGGGCGUAAAGCGCACGCAGGCGGAUCGUUAAGUCAGGGGUGAAAUCCCGAGGCUCAACCUCGGAACUGCCUUUGAUACUGGUCGAUCUUUGAGUCCGGGAGAGGUGAGUGGAACUCCGAGUGUAGAGGUGAAAUUCGUAGAUAUUCGGAGAACACCAGUGGCGAAAGGCGGACUCACUGGACCGGUAUUGACGCUGAGGUGCGAAAGCGUGGGGAGCAAAACAGGAUUGAGAUACCCGUGGUAGUCACGAGCCAAGUCCUAUGCCAUACC
rnacentral:rRNA from 1 species